rnacentral:rRNA from 1 species
AACGAACGCUGGCGGCAGGCUUAACACAUGCAAGUCGAGCGAGACCUUCGGGUCUAGCGGCGGACGGGUGAGUAACGCGUGGGAACGUGCCCUUCUCUACGGAAUAGCCCCGGGAAACUGGGAGUAAUACCGUAUACGCCCUUUGGGGGGAAAGAUUUAUCGGAGAAGGAUCGGCCCGCGUUGGAUUAGGUAGUUGGUGGGGUAAUGGCCCACCAAGCCGACGAUCCAUAGCUGGUUUGAGAGGAUGAUCAGCCACACUGGGACUGAGACACGGCCCAGACUCCUACGGGAGGCAGCAGUGGGGAAUUCUUAGACAAUGGGGGCAAA